AGCAGCCGCGGUAAUUCCAGCUCCAAUAGCGUAUAUUAAAGUUGUUGCAGUUAAAAAGCUCGUAGUUGAAUUUCGGGAUCAAUAUGUUGGUCGUGCCUUGGUACGUACUAAUUUAUUGGUUUCUUCCUUCUGACGAACCAUGAUGUCAUUAAUUUGGUGUCUUGGGGAAUCAGGACUGUUACUUUGAAAAAAUUAGAGUGUUUAAAGCAGGCUCACGCUUGAAUACAUUAGCAUGGAAUAAUGAAAUAGGACGUUUGAUUCUAUUUUGUUGGUUUCUAGGAUCGACGUAAUGAUUAAUAGGGAUAGUUGGGGCAUUAGUAUUCAAUUGUCAGAGGUGAAAUUCUUGGAUUUAUUGAAGACUAACUACUGCGAAAGCAUUUGCCAAGGAUGUUUUCAUUAAUCAAGAACGAAGUUAGGGGAUCGAAGACGAUCAGAUACCGUCGUAGUCUUAACCAUAAACUAUGCCGACUAGGGAUCGGAUGAUGUAAUUUUUAAUGACUCAUUCGGCGCCUUACGGGAA
rnacentral:rRNA from 1 species